rnacentral:rRNA from 1 species
AACGAACGCUGGCGGCAUGCCUAACACAUGCAAGUCGAACGAUUGCCUUCGGGUGAUAGUGGCGCACGGGUGCGUAACGCGUGGGAAUCUGCCCUUAGGUUCGGAAUAACAGCUGGAAACGGCUGCUAAUACCGGAUGAUAUCGCGAGAUCAAAGAUUUAUCGCCUGAGGAUGAGCCCGCGUUGGAUUAGGUAGUUGGUGGGGUAAAGGCCUACCAAGCCGACGAUCCAUAGCUGGUCUGAGAGGAUGAUCAGCCACACUGGGACUGAGACACGGCCCAGACUCCUACGGGAGGCAGCAGUGGGGAACAUUGGACAAUGGGCGCAAGCCUGAUCCAGCAAUGCCGCGUGAGUGAUGAAGGCCCUAGGGUUGUAAAGCUCUUUUACCCGGGAAGAUAAUGACUGUACCGGGAGAAUAAGCCCCGGCUAACUCCGUG